rnacentral:rRNA from 1 species
UACGUAGGUGGCAAGCGUUGUCCGGAUUUAUUGGGCGUAAAGCGCGCGCAGGUGGUUUCUUAAGUCUGAUGUGAAAUCUCGCGGCUCAACCGCGAGCGGUCAUUGGAAACUGGGGAACUUGAGUGCAGAAGAGGAUAGUGGAAUUCCAAGUGUAGCGGUGAAAUGCGUAGAGAUUUGGAGGAACACCAGUGGCGAAGGCGACUGUCUGGUCUGUAACUGACACUGAGGCGCGAAAGCGUGGGGAGCAAACAGG